rnacentral:lncRNA from 10 species
GAGGAGAAGCCCGCGGCGCAGUCUAUGGCCUCCUAGGGGGAAGGGCCUUGAGGUCCCUGUCCUUCUCCUAACAGGCGGCGACGCAGCCAUGGCCUUGCUGUCGUGGGAGUCCCAGACAGGGUAGGAAGGAGGGCCAUAGAAAGGAGGAGGGCCGAGUGAACAUGGAGUUUUGAAGGGGGAAACCAUUUGUGGUAUUUGAGUCCCGGAGGCAUAUGAAACCGCCCACAGAAGACACAUUCCAAAGUCUUCAGUGGGAACCUGGGAGAGGGCAGAGGACUGCGCGGCGCUGGAUGGGGUAGAGCGAGGAGGGUCGAGGAGGGGCGCCACAGCCCACAGAGCAGGCACCGACCUCACUGCGCAUGUGCCCUGGGCGUCUUCCCGUCGGCCCCUUUGCCCACGUGGUGAACGCGGCGGAGCUGUGAGGGUGUGAGGGUCGCGCUCCUGCUGUCUGGACUUUUUCUGUCCUACUGAGACACGGCCGACAUGAGAUGAUGAACCUCAAGUACCACCCCAGACAACAAGGCUGCUUCAUCAGGACACAAACCUGCCUGUACCAGGACCUCUGACCUGUGUGCAGCAGAAGGAGUGGGUCAACAUAGCUUCUGAAGAGCAUUCAUUGGAGUGAAUCUGCCAUUUAUUGGCUGUUCUUCAAACCAUAAGACUGAUAUUGAUGGUCAGCUUACAGAGGUAUGCUCUCUACAGGUAACCAUCUAAGCAUUUUAAAUUCAUGGAAAUAUUUAAUCUUCACAUUAUGCCUAUAAGGUAGGUACUAUUAUUGCUCUCAUUUUACAAAAGAAAUUGAGGUAAAAACAGAUUAGAUAAUUUGCCAGGAAUCAUACAUUUAGUAAUUAGCAGAAACACUAUUGAAACUCAGGUUGCCUUGCUAUAUGAACUGAAGUUUUGUUUUGUUUUGUUUUGUUUUUGAAAUGGAGUCUCGCUCUGUCACCCACACUCAAGUGCAGUGGCGUGAUCUGGGCUGACUGCAACCUCCUCCUUCC